rnacentral:rRNA from 1 species
AUUGAACGCUGGCGGCAGGCCUAACACAUGCAAGUCGAGCGAGCGGCGGACGGGUGAGUAAUGCCUGGGACGUGCCCAGUCGGGGGGGAAAACCGUUGGAAACGACUGCUAACACCGCAUACGAUGGGUUUGCCCAGGUGGGAUUAGCUAGUUGGUGGGGUAAUGGCUCACCAAGGCCACGAUCCCUAGCUGGUCUGAGAGGAUGACCAGCCACACUGGAACUGAGACACGGUCCGGACUCCUCCGGGAGGCAGCAGUGGGGAAUAUUGCACAAUGGGGGAAACCCUGAUGCAGCCAUGCCGCGUGUGUGAAGAAGGCCUUCGGGUUGUAAAGCACUUUCAGCGAGGAGGCGUUACUCGCAGAAGAAGCACCGGCUAACUCCGUGCCAGCAGCCGCGGUAAUUC